UACGUAGGGGGCUAGCGUUGUCCGGAAUCAUUGGGCGUAAAGAGCGUGUAGGCGGUCAGGUAGGUCCGUUGUGAAAACUCGAGGCUCAACCUCGAGACGCCGAUGGAAACCAUCUAGCUAGAGUCCGGAAGAGGAGAGUGGAAUUCCUGGUGUAGCGGUGAAAUGCGCAGAUAUCAGGAAGAAUACCCGUGGCUAAGGCGGCUCUCUAGUACGGUACUGACGCUGAGACGCGAAAGCGUGGGGAGCGAACAGG
rnacentral:rRNA from 1 species